rnacentral:tRNA from 1 species
UGAAUUGUAGACUAAUAGGUAAGUCCCCAAAAUUUGAGUUUGGCUUAUGGUGUGUUCGAGUCACCCCAAUUCAAAAAUAUAUAAUCGUCCGCCUGGCGGACGCCAUGAGGCUACGCCUCAUGCU